UACGUAGGUGACAAGCGUUGUCCGGAUUUACUGGGCGUAAAGAGCGCGCAGGCGGUCGUUCAAGUCGAGUGUGAAAGCCCCCGGCUCAACUGGGGAGGGUCAUUCGAUACUGAUCGACUCGAAGGCAGGAGAGGGUAGUGGAAUUCCCGGUGUAGUGGUGAAAUGCGUAGAUAUCGGGAGGAACACCAGAGGCGAAGGCGGUUACCUGGACAGUUACUGACGCUCAGGCACGAAAGCGUGGGGAGCAAAAGGG
rnacentral:rRNA from 1 species